rnacentral:rRNA from 1 species
AGACGAACCGUCCAAACGUUAUUCGGAAUUACUGGGCUUAAAGGGUGCGUAGGCGGCGCUGUUAGUCGGGUGUGAAAUCCCACGGCUCAACCGGGGAACUGCGCCCGAUACUGCAGUGCUAGAGGGAGACAGAGGUAAGCGGAACUGAUGGUGGAGCGGUGAAAUGCGUUGAUAUCAUCAGGAACACCAGUGGCGAAAGCGGCUUACUGGGUCUCUUCUGACGCUGAGGCACGAAAGCUAGGGUAGCGAACGGGAUUAGAAACCCCAGUAGUCC